AGCCACGUUGGCAGACAACGAGGAUAACGGUCUGACACAGUGCGAGCUGACAUUGUUGGAAUAUUCUUCUCAGUCAGGUGGAUGGAUGAUUAUGCUUCUGACCUGGAUAUCAUCGGACUGCCCUAUUCAGCGACGGGGCUGGAUCUUUCCUACGAAGACAUGGGAGGAACAACAGUGCUUGGCUAUAUGGGAAAUAUGCGGCUAAUCCCGGUUGCAGGCUGCAGGCCGCAAGCGAUCUAUGCAGCGCCAUGAUAUCCCGGCAUGUCGCGCGAAUCCAUGAGACGGAUGUUGCAACACCCCGCGCACGAACGAAAUGUUUUUUUUGCCUAGUUGUCAAGUACGAAUUGGAUUUUUCUAACAUCUGAAAUUGCACUAUUCAAAUGCCUUGCGAGAAUGAGAUUUUGAUGUAUUUAACAAGUCAUCAAGAUAUAUAUUUAUCUGUUUCAAAAGCUUGAUUUGAGAGUGUGACAGUUGCAAUGUUGUCAUCAUCUUUGUAUAUAUCUUAUUAAACAUCAA
rnacentral:sRNA from 2 species